rnacentral:rRNA from 1 species
AGUGAACGCUGGCGGUAGGCCUAACACAUGCAAGUCGAACGGCAGCACAGUAAGAGCUUGCUCUUACGGGUGGCGAGUGGCGGACGGGUGAGGAAUACAUCGGAAUCUACUUUUUCGUGGGGGAUAACGUAGGGAAACUUACGCUAAUACCGCAUACGACCUACGGGUGAAAGCAGGGGAUCUUCGGACCUUGCGCGAUUGAAUGAGCCGAUGUCGGAUUAGCUAGUUGGCGGGGUAAAGGCCCACCAAGGCGACGAUCCGUAGCUGGUCUGAGAGGCUGAUCAGCCACACUGGAACUGAGACACGGUCCAGACUCCUACGGGAGGCAGCAGUGGGGAAUAUUGGACAAUGGGCGCAAGCCUGAUCCAGCCAUACCGCGUGGGUGAAGAAGGCCUUCGGGUUGUAAAGCCCUUUUGUUGGGAAAGAAAAGCAGCAGGUUAAUACCCCGCUGUUCUGACGGUACCCAGAGAAUAAGCACCGGCUAACUUCGUG